CAUCAAAGUCCCAAAUCAAAUUCUUCACUGACAGUAUGUUAUUGACUCCCAAACGACAAAUAUUAUAAAACACGCUUCCAAGCUGAAAAGAAAUAUUUACUGUUGCCAGUCAGUGUUUAGACCCUUCUCUUUGAAUCUUGAUCUUCGACAAGUAUUGCUGUUGAUUAUAUUCCAUAUUUUUUUGAAGAACAUCGCAGACUAUAUAUUUAUUUCCACUGUCAGUUGAAAAGUUUAUCAUCAUAGUUUCAGUCGCAAAAGCUUCUAUCGCCCCUUUGCACGGCCAUGUUUGAUAAAACCAAAGCGGCCCGCACCCCCGGUUUGAAAAGUUAAAUAUUCUGAAAUAUUCAAAAUUUGAAGCAUCACGUGACCAGCCUUUACCAGGGCCUUUGCUGC